rnacentral:rRNA from 1 species
UGCUUGCACUGGUCAAUCUAGUGGCGAACGGGUGAGUAACACGUGGGUAACCUGCCCAUCAGAGGGGGAUAACAUCCGGAAACGGAUGCUAAAACCGCAUAGGUCUUCGAGCCGCGUGGCUUGAAGAGGAAAAGAGGCGCAAGCUUCUGCUGAUGGAUGGACCCGCGGUGCAUUAGCUAGUUGGUGAGGUAACGGCUCACCAAGGCCGUGAUCCAUAGCCGACCUGAGAGGGUGAUCGGCCACAUUGGGACUGAGACACGGCCCAAACUCCUACGGGAGGCAGCAGUAGGGAAUCUUCCGCAAUGGACGCAAGUCUGACGGAGCAACGCCGCGUGAGUGAAGAAGGUUUUCGGAUCGUAAAACUCUGUUGUUAGAGAAGAACAAGUGCUAGAGUAACUGUUAGCGCCUUGACGGUAUCUAACCAGAAAGCCACGGCUAACUACGUGCCAGCAGCCGCGGUAAUACGUAGGUGGCAAGCGUUGUCCGGAUUUAUUGGGCGUAAAGCGAGCGCAGGCGGUUCCUUAAGUCUGAUGUGAAAGCCCCCGGCUCAACCGGGGAGGGUCAUUGGAAACUGGGGAACUUGAGUGCAGAAGAGGAGAGUGGAAUUCCAUGUGUAGCGGUGAAAUGCGUAGAUAUAUGGAGGAACACCAGUGGCGAAGGCGACUCUCUGGUCUGUAACUGACGCUGAGGCUC